rnacentral:rRNA from 1 species
CAGUCGCCGCGGUAACACGUAGGUGGCAAGCGUUGUCCGGAAUUAUUGGGCGUAAAGGGCUCGCAGGCGGUUUCUUAAGUCUGAUGUGAAAGCCCCCGGCUCAACCGGGGAGGGUCAUUGGAAACUGGGAAACUUGAGUGCAGAAGAGGAGAGUGGAAUUCCACGUGUAGCGGUGAAAUGCGUAGAGAUGUGGAGGAACACCAGUGGCGAAGGCGACUCUCUGGUCUGUAACUGACGCUGAGGAGCGAAAGCGUGGGGAGCGAACAGGAUUAGAUACCCCCGUAGUCCCUGUCUCUUAUAC